rnacentral:rRNA from 1 species
GGGGUGCAGCAGGCGCGAAAACUUUGCAAUACACGAAAGUGUGACAGGGCUAUCCCGAGUGCCAUCCGCUGAGGAAGGCUUUUACCCAGUCUAGAACGCUGGGGGAAUAAGGAGAGGGCAAGUCUGGUGUCAGCCGCCGCGGUAAUACCAGCUCUCCGAGUGGUGUGGAUGUUUAUUGGGCCUAAAGCAUCCGUAGCUGGCUAAGUUAGUCCCUUGUUAAAUCCACCGAAUUAAUCGUUGGAUUGCGGGGGAUACUGCUUGGCUAGGGGACGAGAGAGGCAGACGGUAUUUCCGGGGUAGGGGUGAAAUCCUAUAAUCCCGGGAAGACCACCAGUGGCGAAGGCUGUCUGCUAGAACGCGCCCGACGGUGAGGGAUGAAAGCUGGGGGAGCGAACCGGAUUAGAUACCCGGGUAGUCCCAGCUGUAAACGAUGCAGGCUAGGUGUUUGGACGGCCACGUGCCGUUCUGGUGCCGCAGGGAAGCUGUUAAGCCUGCCGCCUGGGGAGUACGAUCGCAAGAUUGAAACUUAAAGGAAUUGGCGGGGGAGCAC